rnacentral:lncRNA from 1 species
CUCUCUCUCUCUCUCUCUCUCUCUCGCUCGCUCGAUAUGUUUCUUGUAGUGGAGACUACUGGAGAAAACCUUUUGUUUCUGGGCUUGAAGUAGGUAGGAGAUGGAAGAGGAGCAGAAAAGAGAGUGGGGGAAGGGGAGAUCUCUCUUUUUCUCUCUUCUACUCGGCUUUCUUGGUAUGAUUUGGAUGUGAGCUAGUGUUGGUUUUUGUUAGCAGGUCUCAAAGUAGGAAUUGGAGUGGAAAGGAAGGGGAGAGGUUUCUUUGAUUUUCUUGUCUUUUUUGUUUUGGUGUUCGGGUAGAUUUUUCUUCUUAGUUCCAAUUCUGUUUGUUGGUUGAUAUGGCUUGGAUGUUGGGAUUUGGGACUAUUGAUAUGGGUUUUUUGUUUUCUUUUAAUUUUUUUUCUCUUUGGUUUGAGAGAGAUGGGGACUGAGGGAGAGGAGCGUGGACAAUUGGAGCUGACCCCAUCUGUGGGGGCACUGACAAUAGCUGCUGCUGCUGGUGAUGGAGGCUUUUGGCUUCUCAAAUAACAACCAAGUACCACCACAACAACGCCGUCACCUCACCAUCUCACCCUUCCAUAAUCUGUCCAUCUCUUAUUUUUCUUCUCCUCUUUAUAUCUCUCGCUUUCAUGCAAGUGUAACCAUAGUCAAGAGGGAAGAUUAGUAUAUAUGUGACCAGCUUCGUUGGUGGGUCUCUCCCUCUCCCUCUUCCUCUCUUUUUAUCUAUCUACCUGACAGCGUGUGACUAUCCAUCUGGUACUAGUUGCUGUGGAGGCUCUUUAUAGCUGUUGGCUUCUUUACGUACGGAGGUGCAGAGAUGGGUGUGAUAGUGGUCCUGGAGAUGUUUUUGGUGAUCAGGAUGAGCGGGGAUGCGCAUGGGACCCUUUUUAUAAAAAAAAUAAAUAAAUAAUUUGGGGUAUACGUGUUUUUUCCACCCUUUUGUCUUGAGUUUCAUUAUG